AUCUGAAUCCUUUCACAUAUAUUCAGAAUAAACUCUUUGAAGCAAGAGGGAUUUGCUGUAAGGAAGAAACAUUUGUGCUUCAAUAAGAGUUUUCACUGGAAUUGUAUAUUGCCACAGAGAAUUCCUUAAGUGCCUCUGGACAGGUGGAAUCUAUGCUUUGCAGAUUUCUUCAAGGUCCUGCUUUACAAUUUGUGAAAAGAUUGAGUAUGAUCUCUUGUGGGAUUGCUGUAACCAUUCCUGAAGCCUAGUCUGCAGUUUGAAUGUUGUUGUGCACACCUUUAUGUACAGUCUAACGUCUUAUCAGAGAUACAAUUCAUUGAUUCCAACCGCUUCCACUGAGAUGGGCCAUUGUUAAUGGAAUUGCAGUUCCUUACAUAAAUAACAUCUUCUACUAGAUCCUGAUAAACCAAUAUCCAGAGGUUGGAUACACCUUGACUUACAGCAAUCUAUUCAGAAGGU